AGCGAACGCUGGCGGCAGGCCUAACACAUGCAAGUCGAACGAACCUUUCGGGGUUAGUGGCGGACGGGUGAGUAACACGUGGGAACGUGCCCUUAGGUUCGGAAUAACUCAGGGAAACUUGUGCUAAUACCGAUUGUGCUCUUCGGGGGAAAGAUUAAUCGCUUUUAGAGCGGCCCGCGUCUGAUUAGCUAGUUGGUUGAGGUAAUGGCUCACCAAGGCGACGAUCAGUAGCUGGUCUGUGAGGAGGCUAAGCCACAUUGGGACUGAGACACGGCCCAAACUCCUACGGGGGACAGCAGUGGGGAAUAUUACGCAAUGGGCGAAAGCCUAGCAAAGCCAUGCCGCGUGAAUGAUCAAGGGGUUAGGAUUGUAAAAUUCUUUCACCGGGGACGAUAAUGACGGUAAUCGGAGAAGAAGCCCCGGCUAACUUCGUG
rnacentral:rRNA from 1 species